GACGAACGCUGGCGGCGUGCUUAACACAUGCAAGUCGAACGGGAGUAUCGAAGAAGCUUGCUUUUAAGAUACUUUAGUGGCGGACGGGUAAGUAACGCGUGAGGAGCUGUCCUAUGCAGGGGGACAACAGUUGGAAACGACUGCUAAUACCCCAUAAGCCGAGAGGUAAAAGGAUUUAUCCGGCAAAGGAGGUACUCGCGUCCUAUCAGCUAGUAGGUGAGGUAACGGCUCACCUAGGCGAAGACGGGUAGCCGGCCUGAGAGGGCGAACGGCCACACUGGAACUGAGAUACGGUCCAGACUCCUACGGGAGGCAGCAGUGGGGAAUAUGGGGCAAUGGGGGGAACCCUGACCCAGCGACGCCGCGUGGGUGAAGAAAUCCUUCGGGAUGUAAAGCCCUGUUGUAUGGGAAGAGCAGAAGACGGCACCAUACGAGGAAGCCCCGGUAAACUACGUGCCAGCAGCCGCCGUAAGAC
rnacentral:rRNA from 1 species